CAUUGAUCAUUAACAUUCAUAUUCAUUUAAUCCUAGACUAACAGCAGGUUCUUGCUAUUCUAUGGUGUUGUCUUCUGGUCAGUUGUUGUAGUACAGCCUUAUAAAAAUUCUUAACACAUAUAUUAACAAAGGUGAUCUUGUUAAGCAGUUUUAGAGGUUUUUAGAGUAAGAAAGGGUGUCUUAGUGCAUGUUGUUGGGGGGUAUGUGGUUCAUUGAUACCUUAUUGGUCUAUUUUUUUCAGAAAUUCUAACCAUGGUGACCAAUUUUUACGGUAAGUAUGACUAUUGUUGUGUAUUAGUAGAGAUAACUCUUCCAUUUUCCUAAUUUCUUCUAUUUUUGUUAGCCAUUCUUUGAUUGUUGGGGAGGAGGAUGACUUCCAUUUCUGGGGAAUCAGCGAUUUUGCUGCCUGCAAAAGGUGUAAGUUGCUCCAUCUGGAAAAGGAUCCUGGUUCCAUACUGGGUUUGAAGUCUGCGUUGUACAUCAGUGGCUGUAGUACAUGAGGGUACGAAACCGGAUUGGUCCGGAUGGAUCAAGAGGGGUUGCUCCCUAUCGCUAUGAGUUGGCCACGCAGGACACACUUUACGGUUUCCCAAAUCGUGCAUGGAGAGAUUGUGUUGGACGUGUUGUCUUGUACUGUUUGGCUAAUGCAUGUCCUAAUCUGUUCUUUUACCUGUUCUUUAUGUAAAAGGUAGUCGUUCAUCCUCCAGGUGAACUCGGAUUUGAUGGUAUUGGGAAUAAUAAACUUUAUUGAUAUAGGUGCAUGGUCUGAUAGUAUAGAAUUACCAAUGUUAGCAUUUGAGAAUAAAUGUAACCUAUGUUGUGAUGCUAAUAUGUAAUCAAUUCUUGAAUAA